CGUGUGCGGUGCCCCCUUCCACCAUAUUUCACCUCAGUCAUAUCGUAGCAGUGCUUAGGCGAAGCCCUCCGUUGGUAGAGCAUCAUCACCGUCAUCACGCCGUCGUGCUGACGAAACUCUCCCUCAACACUCGGCUGGAUCGGAGCUCGAGGGAUGUCACCGAGUUGAACGUGUGCAGAACUCGAAGGUGUCGUACGUUCAGUACUUGGAUCGGUUGGAUCGGGAAGACGUACGACUACUUCCUCUAUGUUGUGUCAAUGCUUCCGUUGCCGGUCUACGACGGUACGUAGAUAAUACUCUCCCCUCUCGUUGCUAUGCAUCACAAUGAUCUUGCGUGUGCGUUGAAUUUUUUUUUGAAAUUACUACGUUCCCCAACAAUUUUCUAUGGCACGGUGAAGUAUUUUAGAGAUAGACGUCAAAGAGCAGAGCUGCAUAUCAUGAACAACCCAAACACACGUUACUAUGAAAGGGUUAUGAAGUACAUGAAUGAAAAGAUGGAAAAAAGCUAGGUGACACAUUGUAGUCGCCAUUGGAAAUGAAGAAAGAAGGCUUGAGGUCCGCUAACCACUGGUACAUCGAGGUGCUAUAGAAACGGUUUUUAACCCCUUUCCACGACACCGUACCUUGCUUCUACUCAAAAUAUAAGGUAAUUCACGGGUAGAAUUUGAUUAACAUUUAUUUACACAAUCGCAUUAUUAUCGAUAGGUAAAUCACAUGCUAACGUACUAGAAUAUUUAUAUCCUGUUGUAGCGCAUGAACAUUGUUCUAGUAGAUUAAAAAGAACAUAAGGUUCCUGUUUUACUUUUCUUCCCACCACCCCUUCGUCCAACCUUCCCCGUAUAAUAAUCAAUCAUCUUAAUUUACUUACCUUCUGAACCAAUCCCUUUUUAAUUUACUCACCAAACUUGUGAUCAAAAUAUAAGGUAAAUCACGACAGAAUUGGAUGAACAUUUAUUUAGACAAUCGUAUACUAUGGGCAGGUAAAUCACUUCUGAUCAAAAUAUAAGGUAAAUCACGAACAAAAUUUGAUGAACAUUUAUUUACACAAAUCACAUAUUAUGGAAAGGUAAAUCACAUAUUAUGGGAAGGUAAAUCGCAUGUUCUGGUAGAUAUAGAUAUAGGUAGGCAUAGAGAUAUAAAUACAUAUAGACUAGUAAUUGUGUAUCACGUUAAUAUUAAGCAAGAUAUUUAUUGUGUUACAUAUAGUAUUAGGCAAGAUCUCUACUACUUAAAAAGAAUGUAAGGUUCUCAUUUUACCUUUCUUCCCACCACCCCUUUGUCCAACCUUCCAUGUAUAUAAUAAUCAAUCACCUUAAUUUACUUAGGGCAUGUACAAUGGUUGAUAAGAUAGUAUUAUCUUAAAUCUUGCAUGUAGUUUACUUAGGGCAUGUACAAUGGUUGAUAAGAUAGUAUUAUCUUAAAUCUUGCAUGUAGUUUAGAGAUGCCAAAAAAUAAUGUCUACAAUGGGUCAUCUCUUAGUCUUAUCUGUAAUAACUAGUUAUUCUUAAAAAUGUGGUGAGACAUAUUGUUUUAAGAGAUCAUCUCUUGUCUUCUCUUAAAUAAGAGAAGACAAGCCUUUUCUUAUGAGUUCUCUUUCCCUCGCCUCAUUAUUUAUCCUACAUGACACUCCUAAGAUAGCACCAUUGUACAUGCCCUUAUCUUCUAAACCAAUUCCACUUUAAUUUACUUACCAAACUUCUAACCAAAAUAUAAGAUAAUUCACAGACAGAAUUUGAUGAACAUUUAUUUAUACAAUCGCAUUAUUAUUGUUCUAGUAGAUUAAAAAGAACAUGAGGUUCCUGUUUCACCUGUUUCCCGUCACCCCUUCAUCCAACCUUCCCCGUAUAAUAAUUAAUCAUCUUAAUUUACGUACCUUCUAAACCAAUUCCAUUUUAAUUUACUUGUGAUCAAAAUAUAAGGUAAAUCAUGGCAGAAUUGGAUGAACAAUUAUUUACACAAUCGUAUACUAUGGGCCGGUAAAUCACUUCUGAUCAAAAUAUAAGGUAACUCAGACAAAAUUUGAUGAACAUUUAUUUACACAAAUCGCAUAUUAUGGGCAGGUAAAUCAUAAGAUAACGUACUGACGUCUAGAAUAUUUAUAUCUCAUCGUAACGCACGGGCAUUGUUCUAGUAGAUAUUGAUAUAAAUAGACAUAAAUAUAUAAAUACAUAUAGACUAGUAAUUGUGCAUCACAUUAAUAUUAGGCAAGAUAUUUAUUGUGUUACAUAUAAUAUUAGGCAAGAUAUAAAUUCCAUGUUAAUAUUAGGUAGGAUGUAAUUACUUGGUCAAUCCUGGCGUUUAUAUUAGGAAUGAUAUUAAUUAAUGAAUUGUGCUAAAAAAUGUGUAAAGAUGCUUAACAUACCUGAGGGACAUAGACAGUUGGAUAGAUGCAGUUGGACGGAAUGUGAUUUGUUGGAUAAGCGACUGAUCAGCACAGACGCGCUGGCCCAAAGUUUCGGCCGAUCGCACGCCAACCGCCCGAUUGGCCCACUCCGAGACGUUGGAUCCUCAUCCAUCCAGGUUACCUUCUUCCUUCUUACCCCGUUCACGUUCAUAUCUGAACAAAACACCGCAAGUCAUGGCAGCCGCCCACCAUCGCCGCGUCACGCAGCGCACUGCCGCCCUCCCCCAUUUGUCGCCGUCGACAGCCACCGCCGUGCUCGUCGCUGAUGCUCGUCGUCAAUGGUCGCAACAAAAAAAAGUUGUCAAAAAGCAGCUUUGUGUCGCCACCCCUGUUGAAUCAUUUGAAAACCUUGUUUCAGCAAUUUGAAGCUAUGGUUGUAGCAAAAGUCCCUGCUCCAGCAAAGAAUUAAACUCCGGUGGAAGCAUGUUCGCAUACUGGUUCCAACAAAACAAAAUUGUGGCUGUAUCAAAAAAUCGUUUGUACAACAAGAACAUAUUCUAGUUGGAGCAUCUUUGCGUGCUGGUUCCAGCAAACCUGGUCGUGAUUGAAGCACUCCCCCGCCCCUCUGGACAAACUCACCGUGGUUACCCUGCAGCUCGCCAAGAUCACCAGUUACCAAAAAACCGGGCACAGUGGCAGCUCCUCCCUCAACUGUUGUAGCAUCUCGUGUGCUCCGCCGUCGCGCCUGCCGGUCGAGGUAGUAACAACUCCUUUCCUGAUUGCAGCUUGCCCCGCAACGGUUGUAGCAUCCACAUAAGCCGGUGGUAGCUCGUCAGCUUGCGGUUGCAGCUCGUCUGUUCCCCGGUUCCAUCACUCGUGCCGGGUGUAGUCGCCGGUUGUAGCAAAAAUCAUGGUGGUCGUCGCCGCCGCCGCGCUGGUUCCCGCACAAAUCAAAAGUGGUUCCAUCAAAAAAAUACAGCAACUUACCACGGCCAUCGCCCUCGCCGCCCACCACCGUCCUCGCCAGUAGAAGCAACCCCCUCCCCCCCCGCCGGUUGAAGCAAUUCCCCCGCUGGUUCUAGCACAGGGGGAAAAAGGUGGCAUUUCUCUUCAUCAAACGGGGGAAAAGGGUGGUGGGGCAGCCGUGUCCAUCACACGAUAGAAGAAGAAAAACGCAGGAGGCGGUGACCAUGGCCGGCAGGCACCGCAUCGCCGGUGGCAGAGGAUCUCAGCGGUGAUGUGCGGAGUGAGGUGGAAGCGAGCGGCAAAGCGGAGGGAAUGGCUGCGAUGCCAGAUGUGUGGAUGAGUGGAUCUGGUCGCUGGUUAUCUGAAGAGAUAAGGUAAGUUGAAGGAGGAGGGCAGUGGGUGGGGUCACUUGAGGAUGCGCGUGCAUGACGACCGUGCGCGACCAGCACAAUUUCCAGU
rnacentral:rRNA from 1 species